rnacentral:lncRNA from 1 species
GACACUCUAGCGACACUGGGUGGUUGGGUGGAGGGAAGACGACACCGUCUAGGUUUUGCCUACGAAAGUCGAUAGUACGACGACACUCCAGUGGUAGUAGUGGCUGAGUGGAGGGAAGACAAGUCUCUCUCUCAUUUUCGCGGUCAGAGGUUCUCUCUCAAAUGUUCCUCGAAUUUCAAAUAUGAAAAUGAGAAAAUGAAACCAAAGUUUGAAACAUGCCCUCAAUUCUCAUUGCCACAUCAUUCUCAUAUUAAAAAUCCAUUUUCCACGUGC